rnacentral:rRNA from 1 species
CCUACGGGGGGCAGCAGUGGGGAAUAUUGGACAAUGGGGGCAACCCUGAUCCAGCCAUGCCGCGUGUGCGAAGAAGGCCCUCGGGUUGUAAAGCACUUUCAGUGAGGAAGAACGCCUGGUGGUUAAUACCCAUCAGGAAAGACAUCACUCACAGAAGAAGCACCGGCUAACUCCGUGCCAGCAGCCGCGGUAAUACGGAGGGUGCGAGCGUUAAUCGGAAUUACUGGGCGUAAAGCGCGCGUAGGUGGCUUGAUAAGCCGGUUGUGAAAGCCCCGGGCUCAACCUGGGAACGGCAUCCGGAACUGUCAAGCUAGAGUGCAGGAGAGGAAGGUAGAAUUCCCGGUGUAGCGGUGAAAUGCGUAGAGAUCGGGAGGAAUACCAGUGGCGAAGGCGGCCUUCUGGACUGACACUGACACUGAGGUGCGAAAGCGUGGGUAGCAAACAGGAUUAGAUACCCGUGUAGUC